AUCACUCCUUUUUGCAGUGUUUUCUUCCCAUCUUUGUGGUUUAUCCACCUGUCAUCUUUGUAGUUGUUGACAUUCAGAUUGGGUCUCUUAGUAGAUGUCCAGGUUGUUGAUGAUUAAGUUAUUUCUUUCUGUUUCUUAGUUUUCCUUCUAACCAUCUGGCCCCUCUGCUAUAGGACUGCUGAGGUCCACUCCAGGCCCUGCUUGCCUGGGGAUCAC